rnacentral:tRNA from 1 species
GUGAACGUAGUUCAAUUGGUAGAGCUCUGGUUUGUGGUACCAGUGGUUGUGGGUUCGAGCCCCAUCGUUCACC